GCGCCUGCGCAAGCACAAUAGCCGUGCCAGAAUUCUCUGCCAGCUGCUGUGCACUGCUGUCAGUGCAAAGAUGGGAUGGACUUUUUUUUCAGAUUUUCUGCUGUUGUGGGAGUAUGGCAAGAGUUUGAGGGGGCGGAGAAAGAGAUUGGGAAUGUGAAAAGGGAAGAUAGCACCUGCGCUAAGCACAUUCCUAGGAUUGGGCCGCGUCUCGGGGAUGCAGAGUGGGCUCUUCGGCGCGCCCUGCAGCCAUGGGAGUGGACGCCUGCCCAGGCCGAAGGGCAAGGACUUGCGGGGUGGGGUCUCUGUGCAUGCGCGGAGCUGAAAGGGAGCGUUUUGCAGAUCUCCACGCGUGCGCAACUCUCGGGACGUGGACGCGGUGAACAGUUACGCACAAUCGUCUUUCUGACACAAACACACCCUGCCAGGUGGAAGCCAGGAUGGAGGGCAGGCCUCGCCUUCUGUCCCGGAUCCGCCAAUCCUCCGAUCCCUGGAUCCUCUGAUGAUGGCAUCAACUGUCUGGGCUACAGGUUGCUCUCCAAAGAGUGGCUGCCCCUCUACACCAACCUCACUGUGGACAUAACUUCCAAGCCUCAGGAGACCCAGUGCAAAGCUGAGGGGUAUCUUAUCUGGAAGCCAGAAAGAGCCCCUGAGGCCAAGGUCACAGGGAAGCCCUCCCACUCACCCCACCUGGUUUCUUUUAAAAGUAGAGUUUAUUUUAUCUCCUUUCUGCCAUCCCUAAUUCCUUCCUUCCAUCUGUCCAUCCAUCUUCUUUCCCCUCCCUCCCUUCCUCCCUUCUCCUUCUCCUCCUCCCCACACCUGCUUCUUUUCUCUUUCUUUCAACUAUGUCCAGAAGGUCCUUCUUAACAAACACUAAUUAGUACAGGGAAAGGUCUCUUUAAGUGAAUGCAUUUAAAAUAGGGAGUCCACCUUUGUGGUAAAUAGUGUGCACGAGGUGAGUCUGGAUCAGGACUUCACACUUGAUAACGGAAUUCAAUUUCUCAAAAUACCUUUAUUUCAGAUUUAAUGAAAUUCCAUGUUUGUUGAAUCAUUAA
ensembl:lncRNA LINC01530 long intergenic non-protein coding RNA 1530